CCUACGGGGGGCAGCAGUGGGGAAUAUUGCACAAUGGGCGAAAGCCUGACGCAGCCAUGCCGCGUGAAUGAUGAAGGUCUUAGGAUUGUAAAAUUCUUUCACCGGGGACGAUAAUGACGGUACCCGGAGAAGAAGCCCCGGCUAACUUCGUGCCAGCAGCCGCGGUAAUACGAAGGGGGCUAGCGUUGCUCGGAAUUACUGGGCGUAAAGGGCGCGUAGGCGGACAUUUAAGUCAGGGGUGAAAUCCCAGAGCUCAACUCUGGAAGUGCCUUUGAUACUGGGUGGCGUGAGUGUGAGAGAGGUAGGGGGAACGCCGAGUGUAGAGGGGAAAUUCGUAGAGAUUCGGAAGAACACCAGUGGCGAAGGCGACAUACUGGCUCAUUACUGACGCGGAGGCGCGAAAGCGUGGGGAGCAAACAGGAUUAGAUACCCUGGUAGGC
rnacentral:rRNA from 1 species